UGUCUUCCUCGUCGCGGUCCGCGCAGUGG
rnacentral:sRNA from 1 species